ensembl:lncRNA
UUUUCUUUUACACACUUUCUUCCGUUUGAACAAAAACGCCUCCAAGAUGCACUUCAACGUGGCAGAAAGAGUCAGAGUGUAUAAAAAGGUUUCGAUACAUUUGAUACCCUAUAUGAGCUUCUUUGUACUGCGCAUGCGCGACGUAAAACUAUCUCGUGCCUCAUAUAGCUCCCAGCUGAUCGCUCCUAAGCUCGUGCGGAGUGUGUGAGGAUGAAAUUGAGACAGGGCCAGAGCGGGGCGCGUGACACCGCGCAUGCGCGAUACAAAAAUAGCACGUAGAGUAACAGCUGAUGUGUGUUUUAUUUCCGUUGUUGGGCUUCAGAUGAGAUGCCUGAACUCCUGAAAUCCUCCUGUACCAGAUGCACACUUUAAUAGAUAGGGUGGAGCUUCAGCGGUUCACAACAUAGUGUGUGGAGGGUUAAAAGACUGAACCAUGAAGUUGAUAGUGGAUGUAGUGUGGAUGAUAUGGGGCAUCGGUGCAUCUGUGUACGAUUACUUCCACACCAGCGCCAUGGAGGAGAGGAUCCACACUCUGGAGAACGUCCUCACCAUCCACCAGUUUCUCAUCGUGUUCCUCUCAGCAAGCCUCGUCCUGCUUAUCUCCUACAUCGUCUUUAAGAAGAAAUGACAUGCCGGAAACCUCGAAAACCUGGGAGCCUCGAGGAACCAUGAGACAACCACUCUGCUCCUCAGUGAAUGAGGAUGAUUGUAUAGAUAGAUGAACGGUUGUGUCAGAUUGUCUGACCAUAUCAAAUGUAGCUAUGAAACAUUGACAAGGUUUACAAUAUUUUGUAUUUAAAGAAAUACACCAUUUCUAACAUGUUGUUCUACAGAGACAGUUUUGUCUACCAUGUUUCUCUUGUCAUGACCUGUGGAAUUAUGGGAUUACAACAUAACUGUGCACUCAAUAUCACACCAUACAACAGAUUACCAGAACUCUCAAAAACUAUUUUUUCUUCCUCAAACCAAGUUCAAGUACGUUUUUUUUAGUACUCAUCAAUACAGAUACAGUAAUGAUUAACCUACUUAGAAUAUUAAUCAUGCUAAGUAGAUUAGCAUGCCACAAAUAACAUGUUAUGGCGCUUAAAUGGUCUCAUUAAUAGAUGGUGUGAAGGUGGCCAUCUUGAGGAAGCUGACGUUGCUCAAUGCUUGUCAUGUGCAACAGUUUCUCUUUACAGCUCCACUGUUAUUUUUAAUGACCACACUGGCUGAAACUGCUCUGUACGCUCAGCUCAACACUCUAUAUUAAUAAAGAUACUGUUUAAAUGCCGUGAGAUGACUGAUCAGGUGCUUGUAUUGUAAGAAGUUGCUGUAGUAGCAUGUUUGCCUUGCACUCCAGGGUUGGGGGUUUAAAUCCUGUCUCCACCCUGUGUGCACAGAGCUUGUAUGUUCUCCCAGUACUUUGGGAGUUUCUUCUGAGUACUCAGACCAAAGACUGAUUGGCAUUUCCAAAUUGCCUGUAAUGUGUGUGAGAUUUUGCCCUGCGAUGGCUUGGCACUCUGUACAGGGUGUCCCCCAACUUGUGCCCCGAGCUCCCUGAGAUAGGCUCCAGGCCCCCCUGUGUAGGAUAGGCAGUACAGAAAAUGAUGGAUGGAAAUACCUCCAGAUUGCUGGCAUUUUGUGUUCCCGAGCGCAGCAACAUGCACUAGGUUUAUGUCACACAUAGUAUCAGAUGUUUGAUAUCGGAGAUUUUUUUUUUUACAAGUAAAUCAGCAUGGUACCGGUAUUGGUAUUUAUGCAUCACUAAUUAUAUGUGAUUUGUCCAUUAAAUAUUAUUAUGCAACUCAUAUAUUAAUUCAUUCGAGUAGAUAGAUGAAUUCAAACUUGAUCAACUGCAUUACACAAGUAUUAAUCACAUCCUAACACAGCUAAACAAAUCAGAGAGCUUUUACUCAGUCUUUUUUUCCUUUUAUUUAGAAUAACCCACUCUAUGAUGUGUGUAUUUAAUGCCUACGAUUAGAAUAUUUUCCAAGUGUUCCCUACAUUUGCGUAAUGGUAAUGAAAACCAUUCUCAGACCUUCUGCUCACCUGAAAAGAGAAACACAAGAUAAAUACGAACACAAAGUUAGAAUAUUUACGCUUCAAUACAGCAGAACAAUAGCGAUACAUCAGUGAUUAUUUGAGAAGUCAGAGUUUGGCAUUCGAAUGUCUGUCAUAUAAACAGGAAGUGUGUUUGCAUGUGAGCUGUGAAACAGGAACACACGG